rnacentral:rRNA from 1 species
UACGGGGGGGGCAAGCGUUGUUCGGAAUUACUGGGCGUAAAGGGCUCGUAGGCGGCCAACUAAGUCAGACGUGAAAUCCCUCGGCUUAACCGGGGAACUGCGUCUGAUACUGGUUGGCUUGAAUCCGGGAGAGGGAUGUGGAAUUCCAGGUGUAGCGGUGAAAUGCGUAGAUAUCUGGAGGAACACCGGUGGCGAAGGCGGCAUCCUGGACCGGUAUUGACGCUGAGGAGCGAAAGCCAGGGGAGCAACGGG